CAUUCUUCUUGUCUGCUGCCAUAUGAGAUGUACCUUUCACCCUCCACCAUGAUUGUGAGGCCUCUCCAGCCACAUGGAACUGACAGCACAUGUGGCUUUCCUGCAAUGGGAUCGUCCUUCAAGAGGACCUCACAGGCUCUCCACCCGGACUGUGACGUAAGCAGCUGCAGCAGCCUUGGAUGUUUCUGGAUAGCCAGCCCCAUGAGAACAGCUUUAAAAUAGGAGACUGGCAUUGUGAUGAAGUGUGGACUUCGCUGUCAUAUAGACCUGGAUUUAAAUCCUGGCUUCAGUGUUUAUGGAUGACGUUGGACAAGUCAUUUAACCUCCUUAAGUCUCAGAGUUCUCAUUACGGAAAUGGAGCUCUUAAUAGUACCUACCCCCUAGUGUGGUUGUGAGGGUUGAGAUCAUCUAUGUUCAAAGUGCUUAUUAUACAGAGACGGGGACAUGUAAGUGCUACAUAAAUGUUAGCUUUUAUUAGUCACUGGAGUGGAGGAGAGAGGACUGUUGCCUCCUUGUCAAUGUCCCCAUCCUGGGAAGCCUGCCUGUGUGCACCAAGGCCCAUCUGACCCAUAUAUCAGAAAAGGUGCCCUUCUAGGGAGCGACACCCCCCACCAAGCCCCCCAGUCGCUGUCCAUGCUUUCCUCUAGGUUCAAAAUGCAGCUGCAUCUGUGCAGAAACCAGGUGUUGCCUGUGAGUUCUGCCUCGCUGGCCAGAGGUGGAAGGAAGGAGGAAAGGAGAGGGGCCUCCAUACUUCCAGAGCCCCACUGGGGGUUACCUUCGCUUGCCCCCACUCUUUUUGUCUUGCUCUGAGGAUGCCAGGACUUUAAGGACAUUGUCAGCGAGCACAGAAAGAAUCUCAGUCAUCUGGACUGCUUUGUGCUAUAUGAAAAUCUCUGAGAACCUUCAAGAGCCCAAAAACAGUUCUCCUCCAUGCUGUAUGCCAUGGUCAGUGGUUAAAGAGAACAUUUUGUUCCACUCCUCCAGCUCUGCCUUAGAAACCCAAGCCCUGCACUCCAAGGCUCCUGGCAUCGUACACCAGCACCAGCAAUUUUCUGCCAAAAGCAUCAGCCAAAAUCUAUUCUAUCUAUUUCAGUUCCUCUCUUUUCAUCGGAUUGUAUUUUUACAGGUGAUUGCUGAUUCUCACACUGCUCUUCAGAUUCAUGUACAGCUGUGGUCUGAAUGUGUGUGUUUUCUCAAAAUUCAAGUUUAAAACUUAAUCCUCAAUGUGAUAGUAUCAACAGCUGCGGCCUUUUGGAAAGUGAAGGUGGAGCCCUCGUGAGUGGGAUUAGAGCUCUUAUAAAAGAGAUUGAAGGGAGCUACCUAGCCCUUCCAUCUCUUCUGCCUUGUGAGGACACAGUGUUCAUCCCUUUUGUCUUCCCACCAUUUGAAGAUGCAGAAAGAAGGUGCCAUCUUGGAAGCAAAGAGCAGCCCUCACCAGACACCAAGUCUGCUGGCACCUUGAUCUUGGACUUCCCAGCCUCCAGGACUGUGAGAAAUGAAUUUCUGUUGUUUAUAAAUUACCUAGUCUAAGGUAUGCUGUUACAGUAGCAGGAAUGGACUAAGACACACAUUGUCAAAAUCUUCAUGAGUUAAAGGUGAAGGUACAAUCAGAACUGGUGCAUGGAAUUGGAACCAUAGGUCUUAGUAAACACUGUAAAAAUGCACUAUUCAAAUCUACAGAAAAUGCUCUCUCUUCAAGUUCAGAAAGAAGCUACAAUCUGCUUUUCCUUUUUUUCUGAAGAUGUGGGGAACGAAAUUGGAUCUUGUGCUUUUGGGUGCUAACUUUGAGCCCUCUUCCUUUACAUCUAAAUGACAAUUUGUGGAUCAAUGAGGAUGUGUCAACUAGCCAAGAUCGAGGACCUGGAGGGGUGCUCUGUGGAAACUGCUUUAAAAUCCUUCAGAGGGUGGGCACGGAGCUCUGGUUCUGGUUGAAGAGUCCUGUCAAGGCCAUCUCAAAAGGAGAAGCAAAGCCUGCAGAGGAGGCCAGCCUGAGUCCUGGGGUGCGAACGGGUGCUGCGCUCAGCAUGAGGAGGAGGAGACCCUGGCCACAGUUCCAUGAAUCUUUGCUCCCUUCCACAUUAUGGAUUCUGGUAAAUUCAUUGGCCUACGCAAGUCUGAGCUCUAGGUCUGAACCCGCAUGGACCUGAGGGUGCACCGAGAAAAGAAAGGCUGACAACUGGAUCCCGGGAAUGUCAAGGCCACCCUGGGCUUGAAGGGACCGGCCAUGCCUCCAAGCCUUGCCCAGAGAGGGGGUUCAGGAUGCUGCGUGGUUCCAGGUGAUCUAUUGCUUUCUCGAGUUUAAAGUUCAGAGGAUCAUGAAGUACCACAGCUGGAAGGGGUGUAAGUGACACUGCCUAGCCUAACUCUCUUAAAAAUCAUAGCCCUACUCCUGCCUCCCCAAAUCAGAUACGACAGGCAUAGGCUCUGACUGUUCCUUAAGUCUUAGUGGCAAUACUCCCUGACCAGUUUUGCGGGGUUGCUCCCAGUUCCAUUGCUUUUGUAACAGGUGGCCAGAAAGCCUGGGGUCCCGUGAUAAGAGUUUCAGUUCUUUCCAGGAUGGAUGGAAAGAAGGAAGGAAGGAUGGAUGGAUGGAUGAAUGAAUGAGCGGGUGAGCGGAUGGAUGGAUGGAUGGAUGGAUGGAUGGAUAGAUGGGCCAGAGACUGGGAACGGUAAUGCCGGCCAGACGGGUCCGAGCGCCUCGGGAGCCCCAGCCCUCCUCCGGCUGCGGGGCCGCUGCUCCUGCUCCCGGGCCGUCACGGAGCCCUGAGGGAGGGG
rnacentral:lncRNA from 1 species